rnacentral:rRNA from 1 species
ACCAGACUCCUACGGGAGGCAGCAGUGGGGGAUAUUGCACAAUGGGGGGAACCCUGAUGCAGCGACGCCGCGUGGGUGAAGAAGCGCCUCGGCGCGUAAAGCCCUGUCAGCAGGGAAGAAAAUGACGGUACCUGAAGAAGAAGCCCCGGCUAACUACGUGCCAGCAGCCGCGGUAAUACGUAGGGGGCAAGCGUUAUCCGGAUUUACUGGGUGUAAAGGGGGCGCAGACGGCGAUGCAAGCCAGGAGUGAAAGCCCGGGGCCCAACCCCGGGACUGCUCUUGGAACUGCGUGGCUGGAGUGCAGGAGGGGCAGGCGGAAUUCCUGGUGUAGCGGUGAAAUGCGUAGAUAUCAGGAGGAACACCGGUGGCGAAGGCGGCCUGCUGGACUGCAACUGACGUUGAGGCCCGAAAGCGUGGGGAGCAAACAGGAUUAGAUACCCUUGUACG